GCCCCCGUAGCUCAUCAGGAUAGAGCGACGGUUUCCUAAACCGCAGGUAGGAGGUUCGAGUCCUCUCGGGGGCACCA
rnacentral:tRNA from 1 species